UCAUUAUUAACACCCGUAAUCUACCCAGUUUUCGUAUCCAAAACGGAUAUCUGCGUUAAUUUUGGAGCUAAUACGUGCACCAAAGCACCGCCAGCAAUGGUAGUGCGCACAUAUUAGAUCAAGACCUAUUGGGGCAACCCACUUGAUGACUCUGAAUAUUUUUGCGGAUCGCAUGGUCUUGUACCGGCGACGUACUGGUCGAGCGGGUGCCCUAUCAACUAUUGAUGGAAGUCUAUGUGUCUUCCAUGGUUGUAACGGGUAACGGAGAAUAAGGGUUCGACUCCGGAGAGCUAGCCUUAGAAACGGCUAUCACAUCCAAGGAAGGCAGCAGGCGCGUAAAUUACCCACUCUCAAUUCGAGGAGGUAGUGACUAUCAAUAACGAGACAGAUCUCUUUGAGGUCUGUCAUUGAAAUGAGCACAACUUAAAGACUUUAACGAAGUCUAUGGGAGGGCAAGUCUGGUGCCAGCAGCCGCGGUAAUUCCAGCUCCCAACGUGUAUAUCGUCAUUGCUGCGGUUAAAAAGCUCGUAGUUGGAUCUAAGUUCAUGACUGUAGUUCUCCAUGUGAGAUACUGCUAGUCUGGACUGUUUCGCCGGUUUUCCGUAGCUUCGGCUGCGGUGACUGGUGUUGUAACUUUGAUUAAAUCAAUGUGAUUAAAACAGGCGUUUGCUUGAAUGCUUUAUCAUGGAAUAAUAGAAUAUGACUUCGGUCCAUUCUGUUGGUCUUGGGAUUGAAGUAAUGAUUAAAAGGAACAACUCGGGGGCAUCCGUAUCGCUGCGUGAGAGGUGAAAUUCUUGGACCGCAGCGAGACGACCUAUUGCG
rnacentral:rRNA from 1 species